rnacentral:tRNA from 1 species
GUCUUCGUCGUCCAGCGGCCGAGGACACCGGUCUCCGGUUCGCCCGGAAUCGGAAACCCGGGUUCACAUCCCGGCGAAGGCU